AGUUGCAUUUAAACCGUCGUCAAUGUUGGGUCGUGUUUCAUUACGGUUUAAAUAAUAUAAAAUUUUUUUACGAUCAUUUUUAUAUAUUUUAUAAAUAUUUUAUUUAUAUUUAAUUAUAUACAAAAAUUAUUUAAUUUAUUAUCAAUAAAAAAAUAUAGAUCGGUUAUCAAAAUAAUUUAUUAUUAGAAAAUUAUAUUUUUAAUUUUUUUUUUUUCAAUUUAAAUUAUCAUUUCUUAAUUGUGAAUAAUUGGCAAUAAUUUUUUUAUUGUAUUUUUAAUUGAAAAAAAAAAAAAAAAAAAGUGAGGCUUAUUUGUGUGGAAAUUUAAUAUUUAAAAUUUAUAUUUUCAACAGAUGAAAAAAAAAUUAAUAGUGGAGGGAAAUAAUAUCAUAUUAUAUGUGCGAAAAAAAAAAAUUUUUUUAAAAAAGUACAGGAUAACAUAAAAAAUAAAUAUAUCAAAUUGAGUCUUUUUUUUUUUAUUAUUUUAUUUUUUCGAGUGAAAGGAGCUAAUUGAAAUUUAUCGAGUGUUCGACAGUAAAAAAAAAAAAAAAAAAAUGAUUUUGGGUCCGAAGGAAAAAAAUAAAACGAAAGAAUAAUAAAGUUGAAAAUAAAAAAAAAAAAGAAAUAAAAUUUUUUGAAAAAAAUUGGGUACUCAUACGUGACAAUAGCCGCCGGCACGUUUUUAAGACUCACGUUGGUGUCGUAUAGGCUACCUGACGUUUUGCAGAUUCAAGAUUUCGUAGAAUAGUUACCAAAACGUUCCUCAACCUCUGUAACCUUCUGUUCUUUUAAACCAUUCUAUCAUAAAUAUUUUUUUGUAUUAUAUUCUAGUGUCUUUAACCCUCUUAAAACUUGCUGAGGAUAAACUCCCACCGCCUCUCUAUUACCUCCUUAUCCCCCUCUUUUUUUAUUACUCCUCUUUUUUUCUUCAUGCAAAGCAAUGCAAAGUCUAUAUGUCUUUUUAAAUUAUAAUCCAAACAAACUAACAGUAGCGAGUUAGUCGUCGUACGUUAACCGUCGUCGUCGUUGCCUUCGUUCUCAAUUUUACUAUCAUUAUUUUCUUGUUGAAAAAAGCUCACUUUCAAAAGCUCUUUGUCUUAAGUCGGUUUCGGUAUACCUCUCAAAAUACCCACAUUGAUCGCAACCAUCCCUCAAAUAUUUUUUAAUAUUUUUUAAACUUUUUUUGUCAUAGAGCUUUUUAUAUAUUAUUUUUUUACAAACAAAUAUUACAUUCGAAAUAAUUUUUUUUUUUUUUUCGUUUCGUACAGUUUUUUAUCCCUGUGAGAUUUUUUUUUUUUUCAUGUGCAAUUUUGACGUUUCUAUAGAGUUUUGAUCGGCUUUUAUUUGUCGGGGAAAAAAAAGGCAACACCCAAGCUAUAUCUGUCACUCUUAUCAUUUGUGAUUUUUUUAUAUUUAUUUAUUUAUUAUUAUGAUUUUAUUUAUAUUCUCUUUUGGUUGCUCUAAAAUUUAACAUACAAUAUUUCAACGAAAUUUUGUGUCGAAAAAGCUGAAACAACUUCAUAGCAAAUAUGAUGAGAUGAUAUAAUAGCUAUGGAAAAUGAAUGGAAUUUAUAUUUAAAAUGGAGGAUAUGGAUACAGUCAGUACACCAUGGCAAUUGGCAAUGGUGCUUUAUAGCAAGCUUGAAUUCACGCUAAAUUGCACCAACUUUGACUGAAAUAUAUAUACAUUGAUCCGUUGAAAAUUGUAUAGAUAUAUACAAGCCCAAUGAAAAUCAAGAGAGGGUGAAGCAUAAAGAAGAAAGAUGAGUAGAAAAAUUGUUGUCUGCCAACCAACAAACCAGAGACUUUCAUGGCUAUACUACAACAAAGUGGUGUGAGAAAAUUUAGACAUGACCGAUGAUGUUCAUCUUGGAAAAUCAGAGAAAAUUGCCAUUUUUAUAUUUAUUUUUUAUAUUUUUUUAUACAAAAAUAAAAUAGAUUGUUGGCAUGGCUGGAUACUUCUGAUUAUUAUGUAUGUAUACACACAUAUCAACCUACACAUUAACAUUAUUUAUCUUGCCAACAAUUUUUUAUCACUCAUCAACAAAUAAAUAAAUAUUAUAUACAUUUAUUCAAAGUGCAUAUAAUGUUACUUUUUAUAAAAGCCAACAUCAUCAUCUAUUUUGCAUUGUCAUUAUUUGACUCAGUCGUAAUAUAAUUUUAAGUUACAAUUUUACUUAUUUAUUUUUCUUAGCUAGCUAUCAAAGUUUGUUGUAUAAUUUUAUUUCUCUAUCUCACUUGUAAGUCACUUUAAAAGACCAACAACAACACAGUCAACCUCUUCUUUUGCUUCUUCUUCUCAACAGGCCAGAGGCUUGUGUGUAUGUAUAUCCUGGGAAACGACUCUGGGCUUAUAAACUCGUCUUAUGACCCACUUGGGAUCACCCAAGAAGCAAGUACUGAAAAUCGUUUUGUGGUUUACCCAAGGUACACACGUAAUGGUGACGAGUUAUUGCUUCCGGAUUUUUAAAUAAUAAAAUAAUAUCAAGUAUCUUUAAUAUACAAUAUAAUCUUUUUGAUUUUUAUAUUUUUUAUAUUUACUUUUUUCCUUUGAGCAAAUUUAUUUAUUGAAAAUAUUUAUUAUUUACUAUUAUAUAUUAUGUAUGUACUUUGUUAAACUUGGCAGGAUUUGUCGUUUCUUUGUUGUCAAAGGAUCGAGGUACAUAAUAAUAUAUAAAACAAUUUUUUUUUUUAAAAAUGCAUCUUUUGAGUUAAUUCGAUGCCAAAGGUUUAAUAUGUAAUUGUUGAAUAUGAUACUGUAAAUUACACGUAAAACAUAAGGCUUUUGACAUUCAAAACGGAUAUUCACAUGAGACUACCAAUGAACGACGAACGUUGAGGAUAUGGAUCCUUUUGACUUUUAGUAUGAGACGAUUCGUGAACAGAAUAAUAAUAAAUGUAUAUAAAGAAAAAAUAAGUUGAAAGAGAAAAAAAAAAACUAGCGGGGAAAUGAAAGAAUGAAAAUAUACCUUAAGGGUAAAGCAUCAUCUUGAUGUGUUGUAUGCAUUUAUAAAUUUUUAUAAAUUCACAACACGUUCAACAUCUAUUCAAACAACAUAUAGACAUGCGUUCAAAAAUGAAAAUAUUAAAAUCGGAUUUUGUGAUUAUUUUUAGAGAAAAUUUUUGUUUAUUUAGUUAAAAAUAAAUUAUUGAAUGACUGAUGAAUUUUUCAAUAUUUACAGCUAGUAAAAAUCUAAUUUAAAAAAAUAUUUGAAUAUUUGUAAAAUAAUAUUUGAUAAAAGUAAAAAAUAAAAUAUGUUUUAUGAAAAAUGAGCAGAUAGAACAUCUUCAAAAGCCAACGGUGCUUUAUCACUUUAAUCUUUUGAUUCUAGAAAAAAAAAAAAACCAUUAUUCUGCUGAUAUAUAUUUUUUAUUAUUAUUUUAUUAUUAUAUUAUUAAAGUCAGCCAACUUUUUGACUAGCAAACAAUUGAAAAUUUCAACAAGAUCAUUAAAAUAAUAAUUAAAAAAAAUAUUAUUAUCAUAAAAAUUGAAAUAAUAAAGUAAAGUUUAAUACUUAUAAAGACUUUUUACGGUUAGUUUGAGAUUUUAUUUGAAAAUUUUUAAUUUUUUUUUUCGUUCUGUCUGUUGAAUACUCGUAUUUAACGACGGAAAUAAAGAAAUUCUUUGGACAGUCCAGAGAGGAUUUAACCCACAGAGUAUGCAAUUAAAAUAAUUUCGUUUUGCUCGACGAAAUUUUAAGUUAAAAAAUAAAAGGGUGAACAAGUUUAAGUAAAAUAGAAUGAGCCAAGGGAACCAACAGCAUAGAGUGGCUAACGGUCAAAAACUCUUGUGUCAUGCUUCUAUAACCCUUUAUUAUACAACGUUGUUUUUCGACAGUAAUCAAAAUUUUAUUUAACUCUAUAAUUCUCACCAUAAACAACAAAAAUUAUUUCAUUUUUUUUUCUAUAUAUUUCAAUGUUUAAUUCCAAAUAAUUCAUUCUUAUUUAUUUUUUUUUUUUCAUUUUUCAACACCAUACAACAAUUUUUCGAUUCAUCUAUUUUUUUUUUUCAAAAUAAUUUUUCUUUUGUUCAACAACACACAAAGACACAUUGUACUUUUUACAUUAUAAAUUUAAUUUUUUUUUAUCUUCAUUAAUUAUUUCUUUAUGAAAUUUUUUAUAUAUAAUUUUUUUUUUUUUUGUCAAUCAAUAUAUAUAUUUUAAAUCGUCUGAUUAAUCAACCGGAAUCUGUGGAUUCGCAUCAGGUGACAUCGUGUGGUACGAUCGGUAUUAAUUACUUCCACCGCUGGUCCACUUCUGACAUAAUAGAGGUUAUCGAGUUUCAUCAUCAAGGCUUUAUGAAACCCCACCAAUAAACCUCAGUAUAUACAUGAACGCAUGAGUGUUUUGUGGUUUCAACGAAAAUGCAAAUAAAUUGAAAUACAACUUUUAUUAUUUCCUUUUUUUUUUUUUAUUUUUUUCAACUGAUCUAAAUAAAAACUCUUGUUAUGGAUCAGUGGCUACUAUCUAUACAUACACUCCAAAAAAAAAAAACAUUUCUUUUUAUCUUUAAAUACCAUUCAAUUCUGCACAGCAAAAUUUAAAUUUACUGAAUAUUAUUUCGAUGUAAAAUUCAAGAGUCAAUGUAAUUUUCAAUUUUCGUAAAAACAACAAUAUCAGUUGAACAUUCAUUUGUUGACAAAAGAACUGUUGAAAUAGCCAGACUUCAAUCAUCAAUUUUAUUUUUUUUAUUUUUAUUUUCAACAGUGUGUGAAUGAAAAAGCCUAUAUGAUGAAAAUCGUGAGGUGACAAGAGGGGAAUGUGAAGGGGGGUUUUAUAAAGGUAUAGGAAGUGCCUAAAAAAAACACCACAGAAUAACAAACAUACCAAACAUAUGAAAAACUCACCCCGAAAAAAAAAAAAAAUACAUGUAAACAGAAAAGGGGAAGCAACCAAGCGAAACAAAAUGCCCAACUAGAUAUAAGCACACACAGAUGUGAAACACAUUUUCGUAUAUUUUUUUGUAUUUAAAUUUCCUCAUAGAUAAAAAUAGAUAAACUAUUAUUGAAUAAUUAUAAAUAUCUAAAAAAGCAAGGCGUAUAUUAUUAAAGUUACUUUGAAUCUUGAGUUAUUGAUAAGAUUUAUUUAACGCCUAUGUAAAAGUCCAGGAAGUACGCAUGGCCCACUUUGAUCCAGCUCCAACAAAGCAUAAAGAGAGGCCUCUCUUUUAGGCCUCCAAAAACUUUGAAAUAUUUAUAUAUGUUAAAAAUAAAAAGAACAAGAAGACAAGAGAAACCAUAGAAAGUAAAAAAAAAUGAAUAAGGCACUGCCCAAAUGAGUUGUGGUCGUAUGAAUUCACAACAACGUUGAAGACAUGAUGAGUGAAAGAAUAAAAGAGACAGUAAAAUAAAGAAACAACAAGAAGUGAAUAAAAUAAAAAAAAAAAUAUUUUUUACAACAGUAUAUAUA